rnacentral:rRNA from 1 species
AUGGCUUCCUCAAGCACCAAGGUUCACAAUGGAUUGGUAAAAAGAAGGAAUGUACCCAAGGAGCUUUAUCUAUCAAAACUAUGUAGAAGUGAGAAUGGCCUUAUUGCAGUACCCGUUGUUGCUAGCACAUAUGGUAGGGGUUUGCCCUAUGCUCCUGAAAAUUGGCCAUGUAGUGGAGAUGAAUGGCAUUGGAAAGUGGUGGGAAAUAGAUCUACUAUGAGUGGGCACUGGUCCGAUAGGUAUCUUAUCCCACCCUCACGUUUUUGUGCUACUAACAAAAGUAUAAUACUGAGAAGUAAGCAAGAAGUUAUAAAGUUUAUCAAGACACUAUUUCUCGAUGUUGAACCCGACACAUUUUUAUCUAUGUUUAUAUGGAGUAUCCGUGCUAAAGGGAGCAUGACUCAAAGAGGAGCUCAACAAGUGAGGGGCCUUGAACUUGAAACUCUCACAGUGGAUCCAACUGAAGAGAUAAAUGGAAUAAUUGAGCCGUCAUUAGCACUGGGUUAUGAUAACUUCUCUACAUUUCCUAAUUUCUAUCAUGACAGUUGUUGCAUUAUCUGCGGUAGAACUGUUGACUAUUACUUUCGAGGUUAUAACUACAUAAAGUGCAAAGUAGUUGUGGGUGAGAACAACAUAUGUGGGCAUGUUGGGCCCCUUGAUUGUGCUUUUCAACAUUUGUUGGCUGGAACUGUUGGAGGAGGUACACCCAUGGAUGUGCAAUACUACUGCAGGCGAUGUGAUAGCAAAACCAACCUAAUGAUGCAUGUGUACAAGCUGUUGGAAACAUGUCUAUCCCUUAGAUCAAAGGAGGAAAUUAAGCCUAUCCUAGAUUUGGGCUUAAAUAUCUUGAGUGGUUCAAGACAACCACAAGCAAAAAACUUGGAGAACUACAUGGGAUUAGUGAUGUCAAAGAUUAAUAGUAAGGUUGAUCUUGCUGAAGAUUGGAAAAUGGAUCAUGGUGAUGGCAUGGAAAUACCGUGUGCAGAAGAAUUUUUCCCACCCACAACCAAUGCCACGAUGCUAGGGGAUGAGAAAUAUCCAUAUCAAAUCAAUCCACAUGUUGAUCAUGAGCUGCAAGGUGCUGCUAAAGGUGUUCCAGGCCACACUUGA